CACGGUAAAUAGCUUGUAACAGACAGUUCUGUCAUAUACUGUAGUAUAUUAUAAUUCAUCUUAUAUAGCUGAAACAGCAUUCAGCCUACAGAUACAGCCUGUUUCCUCAUGACAGUGAGCAGGAAGCUACCAGUCAGCUGAAACAGCAAACAGCAUAUUUCAGUGCUGGAAUGGAAUAUUAUUAUGGUGAAUCCCCGUCAUCAGAUACGCUAUCACAUGAGGCCUUGCAGAUGGGUGUGAAGGGAGAGGCGCUGGAGUUAGAGGAAAUAAGGCCACAGAUGGAGGCAGCAAAAG